rnacentral:rRNA from 1 species
CUACGGGCUGCUGCAGUGGGGAAUAUUGCACAAUGGGCGCAAGCCUGAUGCAGCCAUGCCGCGUGUAUGAAGAAGGCCUUCGGGUUGUAAAGUACUUUCAGCGGGGAGGAAGGGAGUAAAGUUAAUACCUUUGCUCAUUGACGUUACCCGCAGAAGAAGCACCGGCUAACUCCGUGCCAGCAGCCGCGGUAAUACGGAGGGUGCAAGCGUUAAUCGGAAUUACUGGGCGUAAAGCGCACGCAGGCGGUUUGUUAAGUCAGAUGUGAAAUCCCCGGGCUCAACCUGGGAACUGCAUCUGAUACUGGCAAGCGUGAGUCUCGUAGAGGGGGGUAGAAUUCCAGGUAGCGGUGAAAUGCGUAGAGAUCUGGAGGAAUACCGGUGGCGAAGGCGGCCCCCUGGACGAAGACUGACGCUCAGGUGCGAAAGCGUGGGGAGCAAACAGGAUUAGAUACCCCCGUAGUC